rnacentral:rRNA from 1 species
CUCUCUAGCCGUACUGACCUUGAAUGUGCUGGAUCUCAUCCAAUCUCGGGAGCUAAGCAUGGUUGGGCCUGAUUUAGUCCUUGGAUGGGAGAUCACCUGGGAAUACUGGGUGCUGUAGGAA